rnacentral:rRNA from 1 species
GGCGAACGGGUGAGUAAUGUAUCGGAACGUGCCCAGUAGCGGGGGAUAACUGGCCGAAAGGUCAGCUAAUACCGCAUACGCCCUACGGGGGAAAGGGGGGGAUCGCAAGACCUCUCACUAUUGGAGCGGCCGAUAUCGGAUUAGCUAGUUGGUGGGGUAAAGGCCUACCAAGGCGACGAUCCGUAGCUGGUUUGAGAGGACGACCAGCCACACUGGGACUGAGACACGGCCCAGACUCCUACGGGAGGCAGCAGUGGGGAAUUUUGGACAAUGGGGGAAACCCUGAUCCAGCCAUCCCGCGUGUGCGAUGAAGGCCUUCGGGUUGUAAAGCACUUUUGGCAGGGAAGAAACAGCCUGGGUUAAUACCCCGGGCGACUGACGGUACCUGCAGAAUAAGCACCGGCUAACUACGUGCCAGCAGCCGCGGUAAUACGUAGGGUGCAAGCGUUAAUCGGAAUUACUGGGCGUAAAGCGUGCGCAGGCGGUUCGGAAAGAAAGGUGUGAAAUCCCAGGGCUUAACCUUGGAACUGCACUUUUAACUACCGGGCUAGAGUACGUCAGAGGGGGGUAGAAUUCCACGUGUAGCAGUGAAAUGCGUAGAGAUGUGGAGGAAUACCGAUGGCGAAGGCAGCCCCCUGGGAUGAUACUGACGCUCAUGCACGAAAGUGUGGGGAGCAAACAGGAUUAGAUACCCUGGUAGUCCACGCCCUAAACGAUGUCAACUGGUUGUUGGGGAUUAAUUUUCUCAGUAACGAAGCUAACGCGUGAAGUUGACCGCCUGGGGAGUACGGGCCGCAAGGUUGAAACUCAAAGGAAUUGA